rnacentral:rRNA from 1 species
UACGUAGGUCCCGAGCGUUGUCCGGAUUUAUUGGGCGUAAAGCGAGCGCAGGUGGUUUAUUAAGUCUGGUGUAAAAGGCAGUGGCUCAACCAUUGUAUGCAUUGGAAACUGGUAGACUUGAGUGCAGGAGAGGAGAAUGGAAUUCCAUGUGUAGCGGUGAAAUGCGUAGAUAUAUGGAGGAACACCGGUGGCGAAAGCGGCUCUCUGGCCUGCAACUGACACUGAGGCUCGAAAGCGUGGGGAGCAAACAGG